rnacentral:rRNA from 1 species
UACGGAGGGUGCAAGCGUUGUCCGGAUUUAUUGGGUUUAAAGGGUGCGUAGGCGGCCCUGUAAGUCAGUGGUGAAACCCUUGGGCUUAACCCAAGGAGUGCCAUUGAUACUGCAGGGCUUGGGUCAUCUUUGGGCGGGCGGAAUGGAUGGUGUAGCGGUGAAAUGCGCAGAUAUCAGGAGGAACACCGGUGGCGAAGGCGGAUCUCUGGGCCAUUACUGACGCUGAGGAGCGAAAGCGUGGGGAGCGAACAGG